GACAGAGAUUGACUUUUGGUGGCUACUCUAUACAUACAUUACCGUAAAGCCAAAAAUACUCACUGAAACGCGGCUUUAUUUUUGAAAAUGUUGAAAGGGUUGAUUUUGCGGGCUAGGCAACUGAGGAAGCUCAACAUCAAAAAAAGUUGAUACAAGCUUCUUUCAUCAAAGUAGGAGAUAAGGUU